rnacentral:rRNA from 1 species
GAUGAACGCUGGCGGCGUGCCUAAUACAUGCAAGUCGAGCGAACAGAUGAGGAGCUUGCUCCUCUGACGUUAGCGGCGGACGGGUGAGUAACACGUGGAUAACCUACCUAUAAGACUGGGAUAACUUCGGGAAACCGGAGCUAAUACCGGAUAAUAUAUUGAACCGCAUGGUUCAAUAGUGAAAGACGGUUUUGCUGUCACUUCUAGAUGGAUCCGCGCCGCAUUAGCUAGUUGGUAAGGUAACGGCUUACCAAGGCAACGAUGCGUAGCCGACCUGAGAGGGGGAUCGGCGACCUUAGAGCUGGGACACGGUCAAUACUCCUGCGGGAGGCAGCAGUAGGCAAUCGUCCGCAAUGGUCGAAAGCCUGACGGAGUAACGCCGCGUGAGUGAUGAAGGUCUUGGGAUCGUAAAACUCUGUUAUUAGUGAAGAACAAAUUUGUAAGUAACUAUGCACGUCUUGACGGUACCUAAUCAGAAAGCCACGGCUAACUACGUG